rnacentral:other from 1 species
AAUCCCCUGCGGUGUUGGUCAAGGCUUAAUAUUCCUUGAACCAAUGUCUACGUGACAUGGGUCGCUGCCCAUUGAAACCGCUGGUGUGCGCGCUCCUCGUCGAGUGUGCCUGAUGCGGAAGGAAUGCGCCCCCCCUGAACUCCGGUUCAGGAUGAAGGCCUGACGGCAUGCGCGGGGGACCC